rnacentral:misc_RNA from 1 species
GAUGAAGAACGCAGCGAAAUGCGAUAAGUAGUGUGAAUUGCAGAAUUCAGUGAAUCAUCGAAUCUUUGAACGCACAUUGCGCCCUUUGGUAUUCCAAAGGGCAUGCCUGUUCGAGCGUCAUUUGUACCCUCAAGCUUUGCUUGGUGUUGGGCGUCUUGUCUCCAGUUCGCUGGAGACUCGCCUUAAAGUAAUUGGCAGCCGGCCUACUGGUUUCGGAGCGCAGCACAAGUCGCGCUCUCUUCCAGCCAAGGUCAGCAUCCACAAAGCCUUUUUUCAACUUUUGACCUCGGAUCAGGUAGGGAUACCCGCUGAACUUAAGCAUAUCAAUAAGCGGAGGA